rnacentral:ncRNA from 1 species
GCUGAGAGUAGAAGCGUUCACCAGCCUUGUGCAGCCCGCAUGCACAGGCACCCCGCCUCUUCAGGCUGGCCGGAAAUUGCUCUUGAA